rnacentral:rRNA from 1 species
GUGGGGAAUCUUGCGCAAUGGGUGAAAGCCUGACGCAGCCAUGCCGCGUGAAUGAUGAAGGUCUUAGGAUUGUAAAAUUCUUUCACCGGGGACGAUAAUGACGGUACCCGGAGAAGAAGCCCCGGCUAACUUCGUGCCAGCAGCCGCGGUAAUACGAAGGGGGCUAGCGUUGCUCGGAAUUACUGGGCGUAAAGGGCGCGUAGGCGGACAGUUUAGUCAGAGGUGAAAGCCCAGGGCUCAACCUUGGAAUUGCCUUUGAUACUGGCUGUCUUGAGUACGGGAGAGGUGAGUGGAACUCCGAGUGUAGAGGUGAAAUUCGUAGAUAUUCGGAAGAACACCAGUGGCGAAGGCGACUCACUGGCCCGUUACUGACGCUGAGGCGCGAAAGCGUGGGGAGCAAACAGGAUUAGAAACCCGUGUAGUCC